UACAGAGGUGGCAAGCGUUGUUCGGAAUUACUGGGCGUAAAGGGCGCGUAGGCGGCCCGUCAAGUCCCGUGUGAAAGCCCCCGGCUCAACCGGGGAACGGCGCGGGAAACUAGCAGGCUUGAGUUCGGGAGAGGGAAGCGGAAUUCCGGGUGUAGCGGUGAAAUGCGCAGAUAUCCGGAGGAACACCGGUGGCGAAGGCGGCUUCCUGGACCGACACUGACGCUGAGGCGCGACAGCGUGGGAGGCAAACAGGAUUAGAAAC
rnacentral:rRNA from 1 species